rnacentral:lncRNA from 1 species
UGAUACAGCUGAAUGAGCUUCUUUUGUGCUCAAGAAGGUGGGUAAUCUCGUCAGGAAUCCCCUUCAACAUCAUCUUCCUCUGCCUCAGAUACAAGGACUUCAAGAUUGGGAGAUGGCGUUGGAUCAUUAUGUUCAAUGGGUUUAGAAAUCCCUGCAUAAUGAUUCUGGAUAAUGAAAAGCUUUUGAAUUUUAAACAAGCAAAUCAUUUAUGCAGAUGAAAAAGCUGUUUUUGUUUUUCAGGGUUUUU